AAGCUUUGGUAGCACAUAGACUAAAACUGGAAUGAUAUAGUGAAGAUUAUCUUGGCUCCUGUGCGAGGAUGACAUGCAAAUUCAUGAAGCGUUCCAUAGUUUG